AGUGAACGCCGGCGGCGUGCUUAACACAUGCAAGUCGAACGAGAACGGAUUAUAGCUUGCUAUAAUUGUCAGCUAAGUGGCGCACGGGUGAGUAAUGUAUAGGUAAUAUGCCUCUUACUAAGGGAUAACAAUUGGAAACGAUUGCUAAUACCUUAUACUCCUUAUUAACCUAAGUUAAUAAGGGAAAGAUUUAUUGGUAAGAGAUUAGCCUGUAUUGUAUCAGUUAGUUGGUGGGGUAAUGGCCUACCAAGACUAUGACACAUAACUGGUUUGAGAGGAUGAUCAGUCACACUGGAACUGAGACACGGUCCAGACUCCUACGGGAGGCAGCAGUGGGGAAUAUUGCACAAUGGACGAAAGUCUGAUGCAGCAACGCCGCGUGGAGGAUGACACAUUUCGGUGCGUAAACUCCUUUUAUAUGAGAAGAUAAUGACGGUAUUAUAUGAAUAAGCACCGGCUAACUCCGUGCCAGCAGCCGCGGUAAAG
rnacentral:rRNA from 1 species